AGAGUUUGAUCCUGGCUCAGGACGAACGCUGGCGGCGUGCUUAACACAUGCAAGUCGAGCGGAAAGGCCUUUCGGGGUACUCGAGCGGCGAACGGGUGAGUAACACGUGAGCAAUCUGCCUUUCACUCUGGGAUAACCCUCGGAAACGGGGGCUAAUACUGGAUAUUACUUCUGGUCGCAUGGCUGGUUGUGGAAAGUUUUUCGGUGGAAGAUGAGCUCGCGGCCUAUCAGCUUGUUGGUGGGGUGAUGGCCUACCAAGGCUUCGACGGGUAGCCGGCCUGAGAGGGCGACCGGCCACACUGGGACUGAGACACGGCCCAGACUCCUACGGGAGGCAGCAGUGGGGAAUAUUGCACAAUGGGCGGAAGCCUGAUGCAGCGACGCCGCGUGAGGGAUGACGGCCUUCGGGUUGUAAACCUCUUUCAGCAGGGACGAAGCGUGAGUGACGGUACCUGCAGAAGAAGCGCCGGCCAACUACGUGCCAGCAGCCGCGGUAAUAC
rnacentral:rRNA from 1 species